AACGAACGCUGGCGGCGCGCCUAAUACAUGCAAGUCGAGCGAGAAGACGUAGCAAUACGUUUGUAAAGCGGCGAACGGGUGAGGAAUACAUGGGUAACCUACCCUCAAGUGGGGAAUAACUAGCCGAAAGGUUAGCUAAUACCGCGUACGCUCCUUGGACUUCGGUUCAGGGAGGAAAGCGAUACCGUGGGUAUCGCGCUCUUGGAUGGGCUCAUGUCCUAUCAGCUUGUUGGUGAGGAACGGCUCACCAAGGCUUCGACGGGUAGCUGGUCUGGGAGGACGAUCAGCCACACUGGCACUGCGACACGGGCCAGACUCCUACGGGAGGCAGCAGUAAGGAAUAUUGCGCAAUGGGCGAAAGCCUGACGCAGCGACGCCGCGUGGGGGAUGAAGGUCUUCGGAUUGUAAACCCCUUUCGGGAGGGAAGAUGGAACGAGCAAUCGUUCGGACGGUACCUCCAGAAGCAGCCACGGCUAACUUCGUGCCAGCCGCCGCGGUAAG
rnacentral:rRNA from 1 species